CCUACGGGAGUCAGCAGUGGGGAAUAUUGGACAAUGGGGGGAACCCUGAUCCAGCCAUGCCGCGUGUGUGAAGAAGGCCCUCGGGUUGUAAAGCACUUUCAGUGAGGAAGAACGCCUGGUGGUUAAUACCCAUCAGGAAAGACAUCACUCACAGAAGAAGCACCGGCUAACUCCGUGCCAGCAGCCGCGGUAAUACGGAGGGUGCGAGCGUUAAUCGGAAUUACUGGGCGUAAAGCGCGCGUAGGUGGCUUGAUAAGCCGGUUGUGAAAGCCCCGGGCUCAACCUGGGAACGGCAUCCGGAACUGUCAAGCUAGAGUGCAGGAGAGGAAGGUAGAAUUCCCGGUGUAGCGGUGAAAUGCGUAGAGAUCGGGAGGAAUACCAGUGGCGAAGGCGGCCUUCUGGACUGACACUGACACUGAGGUGCGAAAGCGUGGGUAGCAAACAGGAUUAGAUACCCCGGUAGUC
rnacentral:rRNA from 1 species